AGUGAACGCUGGCGGUAGGCCUAACACAUGCAAGUCGAACGGCAGCACAGUAAGAGCUUGCUCUUACGGGUGGCGAGUGGCGGACGGGUGAGGAAUACAUCGGAAUCUACUUUUUCGUGGGGGAUAACGUAGGGAAACUUACGCUAAUACCGCAUACGACCUACGGGUGAAAGCAGGGGAUCUUCGGACCUUGCGCGAUUGAAUGAGCCGAUGUCGGAUUAGCUAGUUGGCGGGGUAAAGGCCCACCAGGGCGACGAUCCGUAGCUGGUCUGAGAGGAUGAUCAGCCACCCUGGAACGGAGACACGGUCAAGGCUCCUGCGGGAGGGAGCAGCGGGGAACAUUGGACAAUGGGGGCAAGCCUGAUACAGCCAUACCGAGUGGGUGAAGAAGGCCUUCGGGUUGUAAAGCCCUUUUGUUGGGAAAGAAACGCAGCAGGUUAAUACCACGCUGUUCUGACGGUACCCAAAGAAUAAGCACCGGCUAACUUCGUG
rnacentral:rRNA from 1 species